UUAAGUUGUGCCCCACGGAAAGCGCCUGGCGCACGACCCCGAAGAGACCGCGGGCCCGGGUGGUACGGCUGCCACCGCCUCCCGCCUUCGGCCUGCAGGUCACUCGCGCUUCCCGGCCACCAGGCGGGCGCGGAACAUCAGUCUGCCUGCAGUGAGCUAAUCUCCCUGAACCUUGUUCACGACAUCAGGAGAUCAUAAAGCAAAAGGGUAAAUCAACAGUUCCUCUAAGACACUUUACCCAGAAGGAUUCUCCUUUCUUGCCUGUGACUGUGACAAGGACAGCGAGGGCGAACACUCCAACUGUCACUGCUGUCGCAAAAGCCAGCUUACCCUGCAGCCUCAGCUUCCUGGAUAGGUCACAGGUAGACCUGCAUAACAGAGAUGGAGGUGUUCUCCCAGGACCCAGACAGACAUCACGCAGAGGCAGCUCGUCAUGUAUCCAGCACAGUUACACUCCACGGGCUUCUGGAGAAUCCGUGAGCAACUGGAAUUAUCCUCUUUGAUGACCCAUCCAGCUGUCAAGGGCAGAACACCCUAAUGGCCUUCUCAGCCGGCUGCCUACUAACCAGCAGCUUACCCAAGAAAAGGCAAUGCUUAUUAUUUUCAACUCAUCUACAGUUUUUCAUUUACUCCUUUCUCCUGUUUUUUGCACUUUACUCCUAAUUUUGCCUCUGAUAUAUGAAAUCUCUUAUUGAUUUCCCUUUUAUACAAGUAAAUAGUAACAAUUAA